UGCUCGAUAAAAAAAGUCACCCCCCGAAUCGAGCGACCGCGUCUCCCACCCCAUCUGGAUCCGCCGCCGGCCCGCCUCCUCCGCCGCACCGUGCUGCCGGCCUCCCCGCACCCCGGCCUGCCUCCUCUCCGCCGCGCCCUCCUCUCCGCACCGUCCGAGUCCUCCCCGCGCGGUUCGUCAAGGCCCAGGCCGCCGCGCUCUGGACCUGCACCGGCCGGCUCAAGCACUCGCCGCCGACCUCGACGGGUUGCUCAACACGCUCCUCGCCUCCACGGGAAAUGGCCGAGAGGAGGAGGAGGAUGCGCAGGAAGUAGGGCAGCGUCAGAAUCGCGCGCAUUGGAUCCGGCCGAUGGUUAUGGCGACACGGACGCGGAGGCUCUGGCCGCGGCCGCCGCGCUCUAUGCCCCGCCCCUGCUCGCCGAGCCCUGCCUCUCCGGAUCUCCAGCCAUGUAUGCUGCCGAGGACCCUGCAGGUCCAAGCUCGUCAGCGAGGGGGAGCGCAGACAGCAGCCUAGCCCGUCAGUAACAUGGCAGUAAGCCUCUUCUCCCCUUCUCAGUUUACAGCAGUGUGCCGCACUCUUCCAGGCUCCUUUCCCCCGUCGUCAACACACCGAUUCAGAGGUAGAGGUUGACUUGCAGCUCGUGGACACAGAGGAGGAAGCCUAAGAUCAAUCACAAGUUGUUAUGAUUGUUCUCAGCCAGUGAUGCAUAGGGGAAUUGUUUGCUCAUCUAUGUGUUAAUCUAGACCUCUUCAUCAACGACUUCAACAAGGACGAGAUCAAGCUGCGUCUACGCUGCUCUGUCCACCACAACAAUUUUGGAAUGCAUUAACUUUUAUCUGCCCAGGCAGGAACAUGAGCAUGCAUAUCUCGGAGUUCGCAAGAAGGCGUUGACCCCCUUAAUAUAUUGAUGCUCUCUGCCAGAAACCAAAUAAAUGACACUUUUAUUUUAUUU